CCCUAGAAGGACUGAUCACCCUCAACCUGAACCAGAACCGGAAACACCAGUAUUUAGGGGUACCCAAUCUCCUCCGACCCUUCCCUUUGAGGAAACACAUCCAGUUGAGCAAACUCAUACAUCCAUCGAAGAAAUUGGGAUUCGAAUGGAUCGAUUCGAACAGAGACAAGAACGGAUUGAACAACGACAAGAUCAAAUCCUAUCUGAGCUGCAGCAAAUUCAUAGUCAAUUUGACUCCUUGUUUAGGCACUUUAAUUUUCCACCUCAUCAAUGAACUUGUUGAACACCUGUUGUUGUUGUAAACUUCUUAUGUUACUCACUUCUGAUGUGCUGGCUGUAAACAUCUAUCUUGCACCUUGUGGUAAAAGUUAUCUCAGAUUUUUAUGGUAUCAUUACUGUUUGGUAUGUGAUGUGUCCAAAUUAAGAAUGUUGUGCUUUGAAACUAAAAGUUUUGAAAACCUUGUGCUUUGAUUUCAUUCGAAGAGAAUUAGGAAUGUUGAUGUGUCCGAAUAGAUAAAUUUGUUAAAAUUAUUUUUCGGACUAUAUUGAAUGAUCAAAUCACUUGAUUGCCAUGUUUCUAUGAUUAUAUGUGAAAAUCUGCAACAAAAUCUUGUCCGAAUGCAUCUUAUUUAUUCGAAUGCUAUAAAACAGAUUUUCUCGUACACUUUCAUGAAAAAUAAGUUUCUGAAAUAGAUUUGAUGAAGUGAUUCAUGUGUAUGUAUUCCAUCCUGCAAAAUCUUUACAUAGACAAUGGAUUAUAACAAAAAGGGGAAGAAGUAUUUAAAGCAAUCUAUGUAAAAUUUCUCUAUAAGCUUGCUAUUAUUAUUUUCCUGGUAUCAUAAUUACUAUGCUUUUUGUUGAUGACAAAGGGGGAGAUAUAUGAAUUGAUAAACACUGCCAUGAUUAGAAAUACUAUGAGUGAUGCUAUAAACACUGCUAUGAUUAUGCCAUCCUUGCAUCACCAAGAGAUAUAUGAACAUGUGCUAAAGUUUGCAUUAUGCCCUGAGUUGAUAUCUUAUCAUGUGAAGAAAAUGCAAAACUUGCUA
rnacentral:lncRNA from 1 species